rnacentral:misc_RNA from 1 species
GAUGAAGAACGUAGCGAAAUGCGAUACUUGGUGUGAAUUGCAGAAUCCCGCGAAUCAUCGAGUUUUUGAACGCAAGUUGCGCCCGAAGCCAUUCGGCCGAGGGCACGUCUGCCUGGGUGUCACGCAUCGUUGCCCCCCCAAACUCCGGUUCGGGCGGGGCGGAAGUUGGCCUCCCGUGCGUGCCUGCGCGCGCGGUUAGCCCAAAAGCGAGUCCUCGGCGACGAGCGCCACGACAAUCGGUGGUUUUUUUACCCUCGUUCCUCGUCGUGCGUGUCCCGUCGCCCGAACGCGCUCUUGCGACCCUCACGCGUCGCCUCGGCGGCGCUCCCAACGCGACCCCAGGUCAGGCGGGACUACCCGCUGAGUUUAAGCAUAUCAUAAGCGGAGGA